AGGGGGACUUGAUCAUGGGGCCGGAUCUCAUGCAGCUGACACAGUCUUUCGAAGUCCUGCAGAUAUCCAUCAAUAUCACCCUCUGUGUCCGUGAAGUUUUUAAAAGCCUGGUAGGGAAUUUUUGGUUUUCCCUGUAUGAUGCUAGGUGGAGCCGGUGACCCCUCUCUGGGUGGCUGGUUUGCUUGAUCCUGUUUGGCCAUGAUGUAUUCCUGUACAUCUGCCAUGAUCCUGUCGAACGUCUCCUGUGGUGGGGUGGUUGGGUACAGAGCUAUCCUGCUCUUGAAUUCUAUUUCAAAUUCCGUUGGCUCUCUCCCCAUUGGAGGUGCUGCAGCAGCUGCGGCUCUGUCCCCUUCCAUCAGCUCCUCAAUUAAAACAGCCUUUGCCUUGUUGCUGGCUACUGUUCCUCUUGCCUCUAAUAACUCCUUUAAUGUGCUGCGUUUCAAAAGUGCAUAAUUCGUUUCCAUUCACCGGCUGUUCGUGCG